rnacentral:rRNA from 1 species
AUGAAGGGAGGCCGGAAUACGCACUCACGUGAAGUUGCUAUACAAUGCUUGCUUAUCGCUACAUAUUGGAUGGCAUGUAAAAUAGACACAUACCAAAUGCUUAAUUAUCACGUGAAGUUGCUGUACUGCAGAAUGGUUGAACAUAAAUUGCUUAUUUUCAGAAGGAAGAAAAAGGCAGUACAUAUGUCUGAAAUGCUCUACAUGAUUUUGUUAGAAUUCAUUUCCCUGAUGAUAGUCAACGACCAAACUUUGAUCCAGCGGGAUUGUGCUGGUGUUGUGGUUGAAGCUGCAUUUGCCAAAAAUCCAUUUCCCAGCUUGCUAGCUCAAAGAUCUUCAUUCUUCAACACGAUCCUUUGCAAACUUUUGGAUGUUGUGAAAUUCACUGUGCCGCCGACACUUAAGCUUCAAGAACAUAAGGAAACUAUGCAUCCAGAUAUAUGA